CACUGUCCCUUUAAGGAGCACAGGCGCACUGUCCCUUUAAGGAGCACAGGCGCACUGUCCCUUUAAGGAGCACAGGCGCACUGUCCCUUUAAGGAGCACAGGCGCACUGUCCCUUUAAGGAGCACAGGCGCACUGUCCCUUUAAGGAGCACAGGCGCACUGUCCCUUUAAGGAGCACAGGCGCACUGUCCCUUUAAGGAGCACAGGCGUACUGUCCCUUUAAGGAGCACAGGCG